rnacentral:rRNA from 1 species
GACGAACCGUGCGAACGUUGUUCGGAAUCACUGGGCUUAAAGGGCACGUAGGCGGGCUGUCAAGUCCGGGGUGAAAUCCUCCAGCUCAACUGGAGAAUGGCCUCGGAUACUGAUGGUCUCGAGGAGGAUAGGGGCACACGGAACUGUGGGUGGAGCGGUGAAAUGCGUUGAUAUCCACAGGAACUCCGGUGGCGAAAGCGGUGUGCUGGAUCCUUUCUGACGCUGAUGCGCGAAAGCCAGGGGAGCAAACGGG